CGUAACAAAUAUAGGGAGGAAAUUCUCUUUUUUGAUAAAUGGUUUAAGUGUGCUGUGGUAAAGGUCAUGUCAAUAUCUUGCCUCUCAGGCCGUACCCACAAGCACGAUCUGCGGGUUUGGAACUCUUCAAUCCUAGCCCGCCCGUCAGCAGAGUGCAUGAGAGAGUACAGUAAGGUAGAACGAAACGGACAUGUUAUUUAUAAUUCAAACUGCCAUCACAUACUUGAUAACAGACCCCUAUCACGCUACCGGCAACUGAAUGAAACAUGAUAAUCAUGGCAGUUUUUAAGCAGGGAUGACGCUUGCGAAUAAAAAGAUGGGAGAGACCACGAUACAAUA
rnacentral:lncRNA from 1 species